rnacentral:rRNA from 1 species
GACGAACGCUGGCGGCGUGCCUAAUACAUGCAAGUCGAGCGGGACUCUUCGGAGUCUAGCGGCGGACGGGUGAGUAACACGUGGGCAACCUGCCUGUAAGACUGGGAUAACACCGGGAAACCGGUGCUAAUACCAGAUAAUCCUUUUCCUCUCAUGAGGAAAAGCUGAAAGUCGGUUUCGGCUGACGCUUACAGAUGGGCCCGCGGCGCAUUAGCUAGUUGGUGAGGUAACGGCUCACCAAGGCGACGAUGCGUAGCCGACCUGAGAGGGUGAUCGGCCACACUGGGACUGAGACACGGCCCAGACUCCUACGGGAGGCAGCAGUAGGGAAUCUUCCACAAUGGACGAAAGUCUGAUGGAGCAACGCCGCGUGAGCGAUGAAGGCCUUCGGGUCGUAAAGCUCUGUUGUUAGGGAAGAACAAGUGCCGGAGUAACUGCCGGUACCUUGACGGUACCUAACCAGAAAGCCACGGCUAACUACGUGCCAGCCGCCGCAGUAAAAC